UACGAAGGGGGCUAGCGUUGCUCGGAAUCACUGGGCGUAAAGGGUGCGUAGGCGGCUAAUUAAGUCAGCGGUGAAAUUCCACAGCUCAACUGUGUGAACUGCCAUUGAUACUGGUUGGCUUGAGUACAGAUGAGGUAGGCGGAAUUGACAGUGUAGCGGUGAAAUGCUUAGAUAUUGUCAAGAACACCUAUUGCGAAGGCAGCUUACUAAACUGUAACUGACGCUGAGGCACGAAAGCGUGGGGAUCAAACAGG
rnacentral:rRNA from 1 species